UACGGGGGGGGCAAGCGUUGUUCGGAAUUACUGGGCGUAAGGGGCUCGUAGGCGGCCAACUAAGUCAGACGUGAAAUCCCCAGGCUCAACCUGGGAACUGCGUCUGAUACUGGAUGGCUUGAAUCCGGGAGAGGGAUGCAGAAUUCCAGGUGUAGCGGUGAAAUGCGUAGAUAUCUGGAGGAAUACCGGUGGCGAAGGCGGCAUCCUGGACCGGCAUUGACGCUGAGGAGCGAAAGCGUGGGUAGCAAACAGG
rnacentral:rRNA from 1 species